rnacentral:rRNA from 1 species
UAGGGAAUCUUCGGCAAUGGGGGCAACCCUGACCGAGCAACGCCGCGUGAGUGAAGAAGGUUUUCGGAUCGUAAAGCUCUGUUGUAAGUCAAGAACGAGUGUGAGAGUGGAAAGUUCACACUGUGACGGUAGCUUACCAGAAAGGGACGGCUAACUACGUGCCAGCAGCCGCGGUAAUACGUAGGUCCCGAGCGUUGUCCGGAUUUAUUGGGCGUAAAGCGAGCGCAGGCGGUUUGAUAAGUCUGAAGUUAAAGGCUGUGGCCCAACCAUAGUUCGCUUUGGAAACUGUCAAACUUGAGUGCAGAAGGGGAGAGUGGAAUUCCAUGUGUAGCGGUGGAAUGCGUAGAUAUAUGGAAGAACACCAGUGGCGAAGGCGGCUACCUGGUCUGCAACUGACGCUGAGACUCGAAAGCAUGGGUAGCGAACAGGAUUAGAUACCCUGGUAGUCCAUGCCGUAACGAUGAGUGCUAGGUGUUGGAGGGUUUCCGCCCUUCAGUGCCGGAGCUAACGCAUUAAGCACUCCGCCUGGGGAGUACGACCGCAAGGUU